UGACAGGAGGUAGUAGGCCAAG
rnacentral:miRNA from 1 species